rnacentral:rRNA from 1 species
UACGUAGGGGGCAAGCGUUGUCCGGAUUUAUUGGGCGUAAAGAGCGUGUAGGCGGCCAUACAGGUCCGUUGUGAAAACUCGAGGCUCAACCUCGAGACGUCGAUGGAAACCGUAUGGCUAGAGUCCGGAAGAGGAGAGUGGAAUUCCUGGUGUAGCGGUGAAAUGCGCAGAUAUCAGGAGGAACACCGGUGGCGAAGGCGGGUCUCUGGGCCGUAACUGACGCUGAGGAGCGAAAGCGUGGGGAGCGAACAGG